rnacentral:misc_RNA from 1 species
CGGUUUUAGACGACUCUCUCUUAGCCCCUUUCGCCUCUUCCCUUCUGUUUACAUACCCAAUCUAGGGUUUUAGCUCUACCUUACCUCUCCUUUGUCUCUUUAAUUCUUUAUAUAAACUCCAAACAUGAGCAACGACAAAGAUAACCUGAGCAUGGCCGAUCUCAGUGCCGUUCUUAACGAAGAGGAUCGGGCAGGCCUUGUUAACGCGCUCAAGAAUAAGCUACAAACUCUAGCUGGUCAGCACACUGAUAUGAUUGAGAGUCUAUCUCCAAACGUGAGAAAGCGCGUUGAGUUCCUAAGGGAGAUCCAGAGCCAACAUGAUGA